CAGAGACGUAUUGUGGUCACAUGGCGUCUGGAGGUUACUUGAUUUAGGACAGCGUCUUUAAGCAAAAGAUGCUAGAAUGUGUUACUUGGGGGAAACCUCAUAAAACCACCUGGAAAUGUGGCUUCCUCUCUGCGAUCCCUCCCAGGACCUCAGGAAGGACCCCUGUUAGCUUGGAGACCUGAGGCUCAGCUGCAGAGCCUUCAGGUUACACCCUCCUCCAGGCUUAAAAGACUGGUUAAAAAGUGUUAAAAAGAGCUCAAAGUUCAGCUUGAUCAAUACCAGGAAGUAAAAUUAAACAAAGAAUGCUGAACAAAACAGAAAACUCCUUCCAGGAAGCCUCUUGGGUCAAGAGGAAGAGCAAGGAGCGUUGAGUUCUUCUAUGAAGUGAAGAUAAGAGCCUCUGUCUGGGAGGAGUCAGUAAGGUCCAAGUGUGUGUGUGUGCUGGUAGGUGACUGCUGAGCAGUACCCAUGAGAGGUCACUUGUCAGGGAGACAGCAGGAACAUGCAUUUAAAGAGGAACCUGCCAUUCCAUGUUCCGGGAAUUGUCACACAUCUUUGUGAUAUUGGUGAUGUAAGAAUGCUCAUCUGUUACUUUUUAACAUAGAAGAUCUUUGGUUCAGUAAGUGAAAUGUUUUUCCUAAGCAGUCUAUUGGUACUGGUAAGUUCAAUGGGCUGGUGGUGCAAGGAG